GAUGAACGCUAGCGGCAGGCUUAAUACAUGCAAGUCGUGGGGCAGCAUGAGUAGCAAUACUUGAUGGCGACCGGCAAACGGGUGAGGAACACGUACACAACCUUCCUUCAAGCGGGGAAUAGCCCAGAGAAAUUUGGAUUAAUACCCCAUAAUAUAUUUGAUAAGGCAUCUUAUUAAUAUUAAAGCUUCGGCACUUGAUGAUGGGUGUGCGGCUGAUUAGAUAGUUGGCGGGUAACGGCCCACCAAGUCUACGAUCAGUAGCUGAUGUGAGAGCAUGAUCAGCCACACGGGCACUGAGACACGGGCCCGACUCCUACGGGAGGCAGCAGUAAGGAUAUUGGACAAUGGACGAAAGUCUGAUCCUAGCCAUGCCGCGUGAAGGAUU
rnacentral:rRNA from 1 species